rnacentral:misc_RNA from 1 species
UCCUGGUUAACCCAGGCAGUCUCAUUAGAGUCCCCAGCAUUACCUGUUGGCAACUAAUGAUAAGGGUUGCGCUCGUUGCGGGACUUAACCCAACACCUCACGGCACGAGCUGACGACAGCCAUGCAGCACCUGUGCAGAGGCUCCGAAGAGAGGUACCAUUUCUGGUACGGUCCUCUGCAUGUCAAGCCUAGGUAAGGUUCUUCGCGUUGCAUCGAAUUAAACCACAUGCUCCACUGCUUGUGCGGGUCCCCGUCAAUUCUUUUGAGUUUCACCCUUGCGAGCGUACUCCCCAGGCGGCAUACUUAACGCGUUAGCUUCGGCACAGCUAGGGUUGAGUCCAGCUACACCAAGUAUGCAUUGUUUAGGGCGAGGACUAC